AUAGUAUGCACAUACAACCAAAUUUGGCCUGAAAAAAAGUAUGCCAAAUUUUAUCGAGAUCGGUUCAGAUUUGGAUAUAUCUCCCAUAUAAAACUUCGAUCGAUUUACGUUUUAUUGUGCACCAAACGUCUAAUAUUUGUCCAAAUGGGAUGGGAUUUGAACUUACGAAUUGAGUCUAGAAGCUAGUAUAUCAAAUUUUGUGAAGAUCGGUUCAGAUAUAGGUAUAGCUCCCAUAUAUACUGUUCAUCCGAUUUAUUAUGUUUGUUACCAACAUGCAAGAGGAAUUAGUAAACGUUUAAAUAUGUAUAUAUGUACCGAAAUAUCUAUUAAUACAAACAGCAUUAGCAUUACCUGGAGGUUAAUGGCAGAUUUAAGGAGAAUAUAAAAUAUACACCUACUCCAGCCGAUGACUUAAUCCAGUCAAAAAACGUUUUAUGUAUUCCCACCUUAACUUCUGAAAAAUAUGUAUUUCUGUUGUCUCUAAAUUUGAAAUAAUUUCGAUUUUUUUUUGUUUUUAAUUCAAAAGAAUACACACAUCUACGAACUGUGUAUAUACGCAACAACAACCACAUGCAAAUUUGUUUUUGUACGUAAUAAACGUGUAAUGCAAGCCACACACGAUACAACUGGUUGUACAACUUGGAGAGGACUAACAAGGUUGAAAAAUGUAUUGAUACAUUUCAAAGUUCGCGCGUGACAACAAGUAUAAAGAAAAAAGAUAAACUUAAAAACUGAAGAGAAACUAAUAUUUGUCGUGCAAAAAACAAAAAGAGAAAAUAUGGAGGAGUGAAGAGGACUGGCUGAAUGUGGAAUCAGACGAAGAAACCGUAUUGGAAAACAGUGCAAAAUUAGUGAAAGGUUGGCUGUCUUCCCAACUUGUGGCAUUAAGUCUUCUAGCAGACUUAACAUUAAUUUAACCGGCGCCUCCAACCAUGUCAGCUUCUCGGGGGUUGGGAUUUGAGAAAACUCCACCUCUAAAUACUCUUCAACGCAUUCUGAAAACGAAACUUUCUAAAUAAACAGCAUUCAGAAAUAAUUAUUAAUUUUAACUUAUUUUCAAUACUCAUUUUUUUUUAAUUUCGGCGUCCAUUUCAGUAAGGUUUCACCAGUCCGAUUUAGACUGUUUUCUUUUGGAAUUUUGAAUGUUGACAUUUUAUCAUACCAGACCUUGGGUUAAUAAAAAUAUUGUGAUAUGUGCACUUUGAAGACAAUCGGGCGCUUACAUCAGAUUUUAUAAGAGAUAUAAGUAUUCAAAAUGUUUGACCCUUUGUGGGGGAGGUACUUGAUGGAGUGAACCAAUAUUGUCCUAUUGAACUGAUACCAUUAUUUGGAUUUGCAAAGUUGGAACAAAAUCGGAUUAUCCCUUUUCUCUCUCUGCAGUAAAAUAUUUUCUUUAAAAUUUUCGACCUUUUGUGGGGGAGAUACCGAUAUUGCCCAUCUCCGAGCACAAUCUAAGUUUGAUAAUAAUAUUACCAUCUACCAAGUUUGUACCUAAUCGGAUACUCCCUUCUAGAGUUAUCGGGCGCACAUUUUGAGAUGAAAAAACUGCAACCAACUUGAGACUGCUGUCAUUUUAAGACACUAAGACACUUGUCCGACAGCUGUUAACAUUAUUCCAGAGACAGUUCAUUAUAUUGUUUACAAGCGUACAGAAGCAUUUUGGUGAGAAUUUUCCAGAAAAAAAGUUAUUCGUUAUGUAAUUCAAGCGUGAUAGUGUGAUUUCUUUAUAUUUGGCAGGAAAACCACAAGUGGCUAUCGUUAGAGCACUCCAGCAUUUAAAUGUCAAUAAAUCUUUGGUGUCUCGUACCACCGCUCGUUACCGUGAUACAGGUACCAGCAUCUGCAGAAAUGGUUCGAAAAAUAAAGGAGCGACUUAAUCGAAACCCGCAUCGCAGUGGCCGAAAAAUGGCUCGUGACCUGAACAUAUCGCCAUAUUCCAUUCGGCAAAUAUUGAAAAAUGAGCUCGAAAUAAAGCCACUAAAAUUCCAAAAAGUGCAAGAACUUACACCGCAACAGAAAGAAAAUAGACUCAAAAGAGCUAAAGAGUUGCUUCGCUUGGCCGAAAGUGGUGAACUGCCGAAUUUGGUUUUCUCCGAUGAGAAAACAUUCGUUGUCCAAUAGUUUGUAAACAAGCUAAAUGAUUACUUGCCAAAGAGGUCAGCUGAAAAUGUGAACCUUCAGUUGACCACCAGAACUCAAGCGCGGCCAUGGUGAUGGUGUGGGCCGCCAUAACAGCCGAU